GUCGAACGAAGUAGCAAUACUUAGUGGCAGACGGGUGAGUAACACGUGGGUAUCUGCCCUUUGGCCUGGAAUAACACGAGGAAACUUGUGCUAAUACUGGAUAAGUCUUUACGGAGAAAGCUUUAUGCACCAUCGGAUGAGCCCGCACUUGAUUAGUUUGUUGGUGGGGUAAUGGCCUACCAAGACUGUGAUCAAUAGCUGAUUUGAGAGGAUGAUCAGCCACAUUGGGACUGAGACACGGCCCAAACUCCUACGGGAGGCAGCAGUGGGGAAUCUUGCACAAUGGAGGAAACUCUGAUGCAGCGAUGCCGCGUGAGUGAAGAAGGCCUUUGGGUUGUAAAGCUCUUUCGUCGGGGAAGAAAAUGACUGUACCCGAAUAAGAAGGUCCGGCUAACUUCGUGCCAGCAGCCGCGGUAAUACGAAGGGACCUAGCGUAGUUCGGAAUUACUGGGCUUAAAGAGUUCGUAGGUGGUUGAAAAAGUUGGUGGUGAAAUCCCAGAGCUUAACUCUGGAACUGCCAUCAAAACUUUUUCAGCUAGAGUUUGAUAGAGGAAAAGCA
rnacentral:rRNA from 1 species